UUCCCUGUAGCGUGGCCGAGCUCCUCUUCCUCCUGGCUGUCAGUCCGGCCAGGUACCGCCCGAUACAGGAGAUUCAGUUUCCUGUUCCCGGCCGGACUGACAGAAAGUACACACUGAGUGCUCACUUCCUUUCAGUCUGGCCGAAAACAGGAAACUGAAUCUCCUGUACCGCGCGGACUGACAGCCAGGAGGAAGAGGAGCUCGGCCAUGCUACAGGGAA